rnacentral:rRNA from 1 species
UACGAAGGGGGCUAGCGUUGCUCGGAAUGACUGGGCGUAAAGGGCGCGUAGGCGGAUGGCACAGUCAGAUGUGAAAUUCCCGGGCUUAACCUGGGGGCUGCAUUUGAUACGUGUGAUCUAGAGUGAGGAAGAGGGUCGUGGAAUUCCCAGUGUAGAGGUGAAAUUCGUAGAUAUUGGGAAGAACACCGGUGGCGAAGGCGGCGACCUGGUCCUUGACUGACGCCGAGGCGCGAAAGCGUGGGGAGCAAACAGG